CUCCACCCUCAAGCAGGUGGAGCAUCACUUCCCACUCCUUAAGUGCCAGCUGUGCAGAGGGACUUCCUUCCAAAGAGGACAAUGCGGCAAUUGGCUCCAGUCUAAUCAUGAGGAAAACAUCCGGCAAAUCCCAAUUGAGGGACAGUGUACAGAAUAACUGACCAGUACUCCUCGAGACCGUCAGAGUCGUCAAAAACAAGAUGCAUUACGAGGCCUGCCUGAGGCAGACCAUACGUGAGCCCGCCAGAAUGAAGAAAUCCACACCUGUCCCUGACCCACCCCUCCGCUGGAGAAACUUCAUUGAUCCCAACUGACGUUGGGGUCACUUUUUCUGGAGCAGAAGAGAAUGGGGGGUCAGCACUGAACAAUGCCACUGGUUUUUCUCAUUUUUCCAUGUUCAGAUGGGAAACUAGACCAUCCAGUGUUCUCUGCUUUGGGUGAGGAGACCUCUGGAGAAUUAUUUAACA